AGAUUUGCGCAGUGGCAGUAUCGUAGCCAAUGAGGUUUAUCCGAGGCGCGAUUAUUGCUAUUUAUAAUUAUACAAGUCUUCAAAGGAAAGUCUAUAUAUAUUUACCUUGAUUUUCUAGGAAUCUGUCUAAUCAU